rnacentral:misc_RNA from 1 species
AAGUCGUAACAAGGUUUCCGUAGGUGAACCUGCGGAAGGAUCAUUACCAUAUCCAAAAACUAUACCAACCCACCGUGUGAACUGUUGUUGUUUUCCUACACUUGGGGUGACUUGGCGUGCUCAGUGGCCGAUUUUAUUGGUCGCUGGUUGUUGUGAAGCCCCACCUGUAUGAACCUUUUCCAUGAACCCCUGGUCAAACCAACCCUUUAAAAGUCUGAUCUUUUUUCUUUUGCUCUGUCUUCCCUGGUGGAAGCGGCGUAAAAAAAAAACCAAAACACAAACCAAUAGACAACUUAUGACGGUGGAUCUCUUGGCUCGU